rnacentral:rRNA from 1 species
GACGAACGCUAGCGGCGUGCUUAACACAUGCAAGUCGAACGGAAAGGCCCUGCUUUUGUGGGGUGCUCGAGUGGCGAACGGGUGAGUAACACGUGAGUAACCUGCCCUUGACUUUGGGAUAACUUCAGGAAACUGGGGCUAAUACCGGAUAGGAGCUCCUGCUGCAUGGUGGGGGUUGGAAAGUUUCGGCGGUUGGGGAUGGACUCGCUGCGUAUCCGCUUGUUGGUAAGGUAGUGGCUUACCAAGGCUUUCACGGGUAGCCGGCCUGGGCGGGUGACCGGCCCCCCGGGAACUGAGACAGGGGCCAGAGUCCGACGGGAGGCAGCAGCAGGGAAUCUUCCGCAAUGGGCGGAAGCUGUGCGGAGCAACGCCGCGUGAGUGAUGAAGGUCUUCGGAUCGGAAAACUCUGUUAUUAGGGAAGAACAAAUGUGUAAGGAACUAUGCACGUCAUGACGGUAACUAAUCAGAAAGCCACGGCUAACUACGUG